rnacentral:rRNA from 1 species
UGACAUCCCGAUGACGAGUGAGCAAAGUCACUUUCCCUUCGGGGCAUUGGAGACAGGUGGUGCAUGGUUGUCGUCAGCUCGUGUCGUGAGAUGUUGGGUUAAGUCCCGCAACGAGCGCAACCCCUAUUUCCAGUAGCCAGCAAGAAAGAUGGGAACUCUGGAGAGACUGCCCGGGAUAACUGGGAGGAAGGCGGGGAUGACGUCAAAUCAUCAUGCCCCUUAUGAUCAGGGCUACACACGUGCUACAAUGGCGUAAACAAAGGGAAGCGAAGUGGUGACACGAAGCAAAUCCGAAAAACAACGUCUCAGUUCGGAUUGUAGUCUGCAACUCGACUACAUGAAGCUGGAAUCGCUAGUAAUCGCGAAUCAGAAUGUCGCGGUGAAUACGUUCCCGGGUCUUGUACACACCGCCCGUCACACCAUGGGAGUCGGAAAUGCCCGAAGUCAGUGACCCAACCGAGAGGAGGGAGCUGCCGAAGGUGGAGCCGGUAACUG